GUUCUAUCUCCCCAUCUCUGCACAUAAAGUCAUCCUCCUUGAGUCCUGGGAGCAUCUCUCUUCCUCUGGUGUCUGCAAUCCUCCAGUUGCUACCCCUAGUUCCUCAUCCUCCACUGCUACAUAUUUUUAUUCAAUUUCUUGACCCUCUGUACCUUUCUGCUGUCCCCUCCAGUAUCUGAUACUUCCCCCUUAUUUCCUCCCCCUCCUCUCUUCCUCUCAGUCCCCCCUCCUUACACCUCCCUCGAUCAUCCUGUUCUCCCUUAAUGCAGGACUAAAGUCUGCUUUUCUAUACAACCUAGGACCACAUAUCCAGGAAUGGUAACUCACUAUGGUAUGGACCCUCCCAUAUCAAUCAUUAAUCAAAAAAUAAAAAUGCCAGCAGCCUUCCUAAAGGGAAAUCUAAUAAAGGCAUUUACUCAAUUGGGAGUCCCUCUUCUCAAAUAUAUCAAGUUGACAAAAUAAAAUGAUACAAACAAAAUGAAAAGCAAAAAAAAAAAAAAACCCAAUAAAACCCAACUAAUCAGAAAAAUUGAGCUAUCAGCAUCUUGUCAUACAAACAUAGCACUAUAAAACAUAAACUUUCCUUUCUUGUUUGUUAACAAUACAUCAUGUUAAUAUUAGUACUAAAAUAUGAAACAUAGCAUGACUAACAUCUUCAUUAUCUUUAAAAGAUUCUUAAAUAAUAACUUGAAAAGAGUAAGAUAUGACAUGAAGAUAGAUUGAUCAAUAUUGUCUGAAUGACAGUGUCCUUUGAUGUAUAGAAGUGUUUAAAUCUUUGAGGUUCCAUUUAGUGUUGUUCCUGUGCUAAUGGAAUUCUGUUCAGAAAGUCUUUUACUGUGUCACUGAAUUCAAGACUAUUACCACAUUAUCGUCUAUAGUCAGUGUAUCGGGUUUAUGUUAAGGCCUUUGAUUCAUUAGAAGUUGAGAUUUUGUAGGGUGAGAGUGAGGAUCUAUUUGAAUUCUUGUAAUGCAACAAUUUAUUUUAAUCAGCACUAUUUGUGCUGCCUUUUUUCUUAGUGUUUAUUACUUACAAUUUUUAAGAAUGAAGAU
rnacentral:lncRNA from 1 species